CUCUUUUACAUGUUAGAACUAACUUAUAUUCUACGAAACAGCAUUACAUUACUGACAGUAAAAGUGGGUCUGCAUUCAUAGUUGUUGGCUCCUUAGUAACACUCUUCAACAGAUUGUUUUGUCAAUCCUAAAACCUGUGUGUCAGUGUAAGUGUCACAGGGGUCGGACUUCCUGAUAUAAAACAUAGUUAGCCAAGUCACGCAAACCACAAAACCUCUCUAGGAAUGACUUUGUUUUUGACUGCAUUAGUUACUUUGCUGGCAUACAUCACAGCAGUUUUUCCACAUAAUGUAUCACUGAUUUCAUUUGAAUUUCAGAACUUCAAGAUGCUUCGUCAGAGGAAUGGACUGUCCCUUCAGUCUCCACUCAGACCCCUCAGUGUGUUGGUUUUCCAUCUUCUUCUGACACACUCUGUGACAGGUCAGUCUCCGUUGAUGGGUUCAUCUCAGCCAAUAGUGGCAACGGUUGGUGAUGACAUCAUCUUGCCAUGUCACCUGGAACCUGCAGUGGACGUUGCUGCCAUGACGUUGGAGUGGACGAGAUCUGACCUGGACCCUGAAUUUGUCUUUGUGUGGCGUGCUGGUCAGGACCUCGUACAUACUAAACAUCCAUCCUACAAAGGAAGAACGUCUCUGUUCAAUGAUGAACUGAAGAGAGGAAACAUUUCACUGAAACUCUCUGAUGUGAGACCUUCUGAUGCAGGAAGAUACAAGUGCUUCAUUCCAGACAUGCGUAAAGGAUCUUUCAUUGAGCUUGUUGUUGGUGCUGCGUCCUCACCUGUCAUCAGUUUAGCAGGGAUCGACAGAGACAAGGGGGGAGUGGUGUUACAGUGUGAGUCUGCAGGCUGGUAUCCAGAGCCUGAGGUGUUGUGGCUGGACGGUGAGGGAAAGCUCCUCUCUGCUGGACCUACAGAGACAGUCAGAGGUCCUGAUGACCUCUAUACUGUCAGCAGCAGAGUGACUGUGGAGAAGAGACACAGCAACAGCUUCACCUGUAGAGUCCAACAGAGGAACAUCAACCAGACCACAGAGACAUAUAUCUAUAUACCAGAUGAUUUCUUCAAGGUCCAGUCUGCUUCAGCUUUCCCCAUCAUCACUGGUUUGGCUGUUAGUUUGGCUGUUUGCAUCAUGUUUAUUGUCCUGCUUCUCUUCUUUUUGUGGAAAUGGAGGCAAAACAUUAUCAAGACCAAGAGAAGCCACUGUGAUGAAACUGAGACAGGAAAAAAGAAGAACAGCUCUAAAACCAACAAAACUGAAGAUCAGUCUGUUCCUGUUGAAGAAAGAGAGCACCUCAUGACAACUGAAACAGUGGAAAUGAAGGUAGUAAAGGGAAAAGGGGGAAAGAAAAGCAAACAUGUAAGUAGAGAAACAGAAUCUGUGUUAAGAAAGGAAUUAAGAAGACAACAAGAGCAGCUGUGACAGACAGAUAACUAUUACUGAUGUGUGGACAAUCAGAGGCUCAAGAAAAAUGGGACAGAUGAGGCACAGCUGAGACAGACAGAGGGAUGAAGAUUAAGAAGCAGAGAUGUCAGCAGCAGCUCCUGGAGGAGCAGCAGAGGAGGGAGGAAGCUGAGAAGGGAGUUCAGACUCUGAAAGAAGAGAUGGAGACCAAGAGGAAGGAGGU